rnacentral:rRNA from 1 species
CCCAGCUUGCUGGGCGGAUCAGUGGCGAACGGGUGAGUAACACGUGAGUAACCUGCCCCAGACUCCGGGAUAAGCCUUGGAAACGAGGUCUAAUACUGGAUACGAGAUGCCCCUGCAUGGGGAGUGUCUGGAAAGAUUUAUCGGUCUGGGAUGGACUCGCGGCCUAUCAGCUUGUUGGUGGGGUAAUGGCCUACCAAGGCGACGACGGGUAGCCGGCCUGAGAGGGCGACCGGCCACACUGGGACUGAGACACGGCCCAGACUCCUACGGGAGGCAGCAGUGGGGAAUAUUGCACAAUGGGCGAAAGCCUGAUGCAGCGACGCCGCGUGAGGGAUGAAGGCCUUCGGGUUGUAAACCUCUUUCAGCAGGGAAGAAGCGCAAGUGACGGUACCUGCAGAAGAAGCGCCGGCUAACUACGUGCCAGCAGCCGCGGUAAUACGUAGGGCGCAAGCGUUGUCCGGAAUUAUUGGGCGUAAAGAGCUCGUAGGCGGUUUGUCGCGUCUGGUGUGAAAACUCAAGGCUCAACCUUGAGCUUGCAUCGGGUACGGGCAGACUAGAGUGCGGUAGGGGUGACUGGAAUUCCUGGUGUAGCGGUGGAAUGCGCAGAUAUCAGGAGGAACACCGAUGGCGAAGGCAGGUCACUGGGCCGCAACUGACGCUGAGGAGCGAAAGCAUGGGGAGCGAACAGGAUUAGAUACCCUGGUAGUCCAUGCCGUAAACGUUGGGCACUAGGUGUGGGGCUCAUUCCACGAGUUCCGUGCCGCAGCAAACGCAUUAAGUGCCCCGCCUGGGGAGUACGGCCGCAAGGCUAAAACUCAAAGGAAUUGACGGGGGCCCGCACAAGCGGCGGAGCAUGCGGAUUAAUUCGAUGCAACGCGAAGAACCUUACCAAGGCUUGACAUACACCGGAAACUUCCAGAGAUGGUUGCCCCGCAAGGUCGGUGUACAGGUGGUGCAUGGUUGUCGUCAGCUCGUGUCGUGAGAUGUUGGGUUAAGUCCCGCAACGAGCGCAACCCUCGUCUUAUGUUGCCAGCACGUCAUGGUGGGGACUCAUAAGAGACUGCCGGGGUCAACUCGGAGGAAGGUGGGGAUGACGUCAAAUCAUCAUGCCCCUUAUGUCUUGGGCUUCACGCAUGCUACAAUGGCCGGUACAAAGGGCUGCGAUACCGCGAGGUGGAGCGAAUCCCAAAAAGCCGGUCUCAGUUCGGAUUGGGGUCUGCAACUCGACCCCAUGAAGUCGGAGUCGCUAGUAAUCGCAGAUCAGCAACGCUGCGGUGAAUACGUUCCCGGGCCUUGUACACACCGCCCGUCAAGUCACGAAAGUCGGUAACACCCGAAGC